rnacentral:rRNA from 1 species
UGGGUAGUCCGCACGAGCGCACCUUACUUUUAGUUGCUAUCAUUCAGUUGGGCACUCUAAAAGAACUGCCAGUGAUAAGCUGGAGGAAGGUGGGGAUGACGUCAAGUCCUCAUGGCCCUUAUGUGUUGGGCUACACACGUGCUACAAUGGUAUUUACAAUGGGAUGCAAAGAGGCAACUCCUAGCAAACCCUCAAAAAAUACCUCAGUUCGGAUUGUACUCUGCAACUCGAGUACAUGAAGCUGGAAUUACUAGUAAUCGCGGAUCAGCGCGCCGCGGUGAAUACGUUCCCGGGUCUUGUACACACCGCCCGUCACACCAUGGAAGUUGGUUACACCUUAAGGCAAAGUGUAAAAUCUUUGACUACGGUACGAUCAGCGACUGGGGUGAAGUCGUAACAAGGUAGCCGUAGGGGAACCUGCGGCUGGAUCACCUCCUUUCU